GAAGCAGCAACGCCGCGUGGAGGAUGACACUUUUCGGAGCGUAAACUCCUUUUCUUAGGGAAGAACAAUGACGGUACCUAAGGAAUAAGCACCGGCUAACUCCGUGCCAGCAGCCGCGGUAAUACGGAGGGUGCAAGCGUUACUCGGAAUCACUGGGCGUAAAGGACGCGUAGGCGGAUUAUCAAGUCUUUUGUGAAAUCUAAUGGCUUAACCAUUAAACUGCUUGAGAAACUGAUAAUCUAGAGUGAGGGAGAGGCAGAUGGAACUGGUGGUGUAGGGGUAAAAUCCGUAGAGAUCACCAAGAAUACCCAUUGCGAAGGCGAUCUGCUAGAACUCAACUGACGCUAAUGCGUGAAAGCGUGGGGAGCAAACAGGAUUAGAUACCCUGGUAGUCCACGCCCUAAACGAUGCAUACUAGUUGUUGCUCUGCUAGUCAGGGCAGUAAUUCAGCUAACGCAUUAAGUAUGCCGCCUGGGGAGUACGGUCGCAAGAUUAAAACUCAAAGGAAUAGACGGGGACCCGCACAAGCGGUGGAGCAUGUGGUUUAAUUCGAAGAUACGCGAAGAACCUUACCUGGGCUUGAUAUCCUAAGAACCUCUUAGAGAUAAGAGGGUGCUAGCUUGCUAGAACUUAGAGACAGGUGCUGCACGGCUGUCGUCAGCUCGUGUCGUGAGAUGUUCGGUUAAGUCCGGCAACGAGCGCAACCCACGUAUUUAGUUGCUAACAGUUUGGCUGAGCACUCUAAAUAUACUGCCUUCGUAAGGAGGAGGAAGGUGUGGACGACGUCAAGUCAUCAUGGCCCUUAUGCCCAGGGCGACACACGUGCUACAAUGGCAUAUACAAUGAGACGCAAUAUCGCGAGAUGGAGCAAAUCUAUAAAAUAUGUCCCAGUUCGGAUUGUUCUCUGCAACUC
rnacentral:rRNA from 1 species